AUAACCAAACACCCGACCAAAUCUUACUGCAUUACUGCAUUGUGCUAUCAAAUGAAUGCAGAUAACUUUUUUUUUAAAUAAAUAAAAAGCUCGAUACUCACACACUUUUGUAUUUUCCUGCUCCUUCAGGAAGUGACUGUCAUCAAUACCUGUUAGCCCAAAGAUUACCACCCCAUUUACUAGUUUCAUGUAAUUAAUGUGCAUCGUUCCUUUCCAAUCCAGUUAAUUUUAGUCUUUUAAUGUCAACUGAUAUAAAACUGUGAAUUCAUAGAUUUUCUCGUCACUGCUGACACAUGUGCACAUCCUUCAUCAAAAGCAUAAUUGCAGUGUCAGUGGGUGUAGAGACACCACCUCAGUUUCCACAGUAAGGCACACAAGGGCUUGAAGACAAAAAUGUAAUGUGUCCCCUCCCCACCAGAUGGUGACGGUGACCUGUAUGAACAGUGCAGUAAUGCAUGUCAUGACCACUAGAGAGCAGUGCUAAUACACCAGUCCCUCAGAUGCUACUUGUGGGCUGCAGUGUUGAGAAGUGUGAUGUAUUCUCUCUGGCAGCACCUUGGACAGCGCCAAUCUGGUCCUUUUCCUGGUGGUAGAGAUGGGAGAAAAUGUGCUUUACCGCCGGAAGAAGAAUACAACUGCAGGCUUUCUCACAUCGCAGCAGAGCAUGGAGAAAAUUUCAAGUGCACGUCUAAGGAUGCGUCAGACAGGAGACAACCUCUUCAGUCUUGGCAGAAACAAAUGGAGUACAAUACCUGUGAUUCUUCAGAGCAGUUCUGCUGUGAACAGUACUGUACAAGGCAAACUUUGUCUACAGUUGGAAUCCGGACACAAGCCAUUUACUCAGUAACAUCAUUAACUAACCUGUGAUGAAGUGUUUGCCACAGACGUACACAUAUUGACGGUCCGGGUCCCACAGUUUACCCUUUUUAUCCUCCCUGUUUAUGGCCUGAAGCCACAGAUCUCUUUCACUGUCCUUUGUUCUUUGGGGAAGUAAAGAAAAUCGUAAAGUGUUAUUUUUAUUUUAUUGUUUUAUGUGCAAUAUGCGACCCAGCAGCUUUUAGGCAUGGUGCCACUAGGCACUUUUACAGUGGGGGCGUGGUCGUUCUGAAGACAAGACGGUGAUGCAUGUCUGCUCUCAUCUAAAGAGGCAGCUCUCUAAGCUGUGGCGUCCACUGGUUCCUUUUUACUUGCUGAAAAAAAGUUGCUUUUGGGGCCAGUUGUCUGGUCUUGCACACAAGGUGAGACUGAGGUGGGUCCUCAGAAUCUGUGCCAUUUAUUUUGACAGAGCAAUGACUAAUGGUGUAACUUCAUCACUUAGUCAGUUUGGUUCUGUUGACUGUUGGUCAGACAAAACAAUACAUUAUUCUGCACAACUUUAUUCAGGGUAGGCUGCAAGAUGUGGUGAAAAGCUAGCGAAUGAUCCUUGAUUUAAGAUUUUGUCAAACUACUAUUCCCAAGAUCAAGAGUGAACAUUCACUCUCAAAUGGCAAAUGAUGUAUUCUUUGUGAUGUCAUAUUAAUGAAUAUUAAUAAACGAUUUUGUCAGUCAAAAA
ensembl:lncRNA